rnacentral:rRNA from 1 species
GAUGAACGCUAGCUACAGGCUUAACACAUGCAAGUCGAGGGGCAGCGGGUUGAAAGCUUGCUUUCAAUGCCGGCGACCGGCGCACGGGUGCGUAACGCGUAUCAAACCUGCCUCAUACUCGGGGAUAGCCUUGCGAAAGUAAGAUUAAUACCCGAUGUUAUUAGUUCACCGCAUGGUGGAUUAAUCAAAGAUUUAUCGGUAUGAGAUGGUGAUGCGUCCGAUUAGGUAGUAGGCGGGGUAACGGCCCACCUAGCCUUCGAUCGGUAGGGGUUCUGAGAGGAAGGUCCCCCACACUGGAACUGAGACACGGUCCAGACUCCUACGGGAGGCAGCAGUGAGGAAUAUUGGUCAAUGGACGAAAGUCUGAACCAGCCAAGUAGCGUGCAGGAUGACGGCCCUCCGGGUUGUAAACUGCUUUUAGUUGGGAAUAAAAAAAGGGACGUGUCCCUUAUUGUAUGUACCUUCAGAAAAAGGACCGGCUAAUUCCGUGCCAGCAGCCGCGGUAAUACGGAAGGUCCAGGCGUUAUCCGGAUUUAUUGGGUUUAAAGGGAGCGUAGGCGGAUUGUUAAGUCAGCGGUUAAAGGGUGUGGCUCAACCAUACAUUGCCGUUGAAACUGGCGAUCUUGAGUGCAGACAGGGAUGCCGGAAUUCGUGGUGUAGCGGUGAAAUGCUUAGAUAUCACGAAGAACUCCGAUCGCGAAGGCAGGUGUCCGGGCUGCAACUGACGCUGAGGCUCGAAAGUGUGGGUAUCAAACAGG